CGAGGCACAAGGAGACGCUUCACAAAGCGAGAACCUGCCUGCUCCUUCAUGCACAGUUUUCAUUCGGUGCUAAAGCUGCAAAAAUGAGAUAAGCUGAAGCCAAAAGGUAUUUGGAAAGUGGAGAUGAAUAGGUCAGGAACUCUGUACUCUUUUUAAAGAACGUUAUCUAUUUGGCCUACUUAUUCUUUGGUCAUGAGUGCUUGAGGGAAGGCAAGGACGACAGGACAAAGAAGACUGGGAAUAACUGAAAACCUGGGCCUCAAAAGCAGUAGGGGAGAGGUGAUAUCUCCAGAGCAGCAGGACAGGCGAAUGGAGCAUUUGGUUCUCAAUUCGUUUAUAUUAAUUCAGCGAUUACAUCUCUAUGGGUAUCUGUAAACCCCUGCCGACCUCUCCCUCACCUUCAGUCCCACACUUCCACCCGCCUGAGGAACUCUUCCACUGUGUUGUCUCAUGCACGUUGGCCCCAAGCUUCAAUGCUCCAAAUUGACCUCAUCAUUCUUGCACCUCCCAGGCUUGAAACCUAGGAAUUAUUUUCAACUCCUACCUCUCCCUUGGCACAGGUACCCAAUUAGUCACCAUUUUAAUCAUCCGCUGCUGGUAAUCACUGUGACAUUUAUCCUAUUGUAUCUGGCAGUGAGAUGGCUGUGGCUGUCAAGCUGACACACAAAUCAAGCAGAAUAAAACCCCACCCAGAAAAGGCUGGCAUCAGCAUGGAACUCUGUUACAAACAUCAAAAGCAGUCUGUGGGCCGGGUGCAUUGACUCAUGCCUGUAAUCCUAGCACUUUGGGAAGCCGAGGCAGGAGAAUCACUUGAGCCAAGGAGCUCAAGACCAGCCUGAGCAACAGAUUGAGACCCCAUUUCUUUUAUUUAUUUAUUUUAAAAAAAUUUUUUAAAUUUGUUUUUGAGACAGAGUAUCUCUCACUGUUGCCCAGGCGGGAGUGCAGUGGUGUGAUCUCGGCUCACUGCAACCUCCGCCUCCCAGGUUCAAGCGAUUCUCCUGCCUCAAUCUCCAGAGUAGCUGGCAUUACAGGCAUGUGCCACCACGCUGGACUAAUUUUUUGUAUUUAGUAGAGACAGGGUUUCACCAUCAUGGUCAGGCUGGUCUCGAACUCCAGGUGUGAGCCACCAUGCCUGGCUGAGACCCCAUUUCUAUUACACAAAUAAUUAGCCAGGUGUGGUGGCUUGCACCUGUAGUCCCAGACAUUCGGGAGGCUGAGGUGGGAAUUUGAGGCUGCAGUGAGCCAUGAUCAUACUACCACGCUCCAGCCUGGGCAACUGAACAAGGCCCUGUCUCAAAAAAAAAAAAAAAAAAAAAAAAGUGGUGUUAUGGGGCUGACGGGAGGGGAUGGGGAGAUGUGAUCAAGGCCAAGCUAGAGUGAGAGCAGAUCCAGUAAGUGGAGUGAGCAGAGGAAUGAAGUCAUGAGCCGAGAGCCCACCCAGCGGCUGAGUUCAACCUUGAAGGCUCUGGGGGAGGAGCACCUAACAUUUGUUUGGCAUCUGCUAAGCAAUCAAGGCCUUUUGCAUAUUUUAUCAUCUUCAUCCUGGCAGCAAGACGUGGGAUAGAUGGUGAAUCUGACAUUUGCCUGGCACCUUUGGUUUUUGUUUUCUUUUCACAAACUCUAACUCAUUUGAUUCCAUGGUAACCCAGUGAAGUGGUCAGAGCCCUCUUUGGUGAAUGAGAAAACUGGAUCCAAAAGUCCUCCAUAUCCUCGUUACUCAAAGUGUGGUCAUCAGUAUCACCUGGGAGCUUGUUAGAAACACAGAUCGCCCGCUUAUCCCAGGCUCACCCACUGGAAUGUGCAUUUAAACAAGAAGCCCAGGGAUUCGUGGGCACAUUAAAGCUGAUCUAUGUGACUGCUGGAGGAGUCUGGACCAGCCUUACACAGCUAAGUCUGCCCCUGGUCAGCAACGUUUGGCACAAAUGCCAAGGUUACCUGCAACUCUGAGACAAGCUUGGCCAUCAGCGGGGAGUGAGGCUGACAGAGCUGGGGACUGGGCGGUGAGAGGAGAGUGGAAAAGGGAAGUCAAGUCAAGGGUUGUUUGUGGGGAUUAUGCUGUGUGCUCCAGCACCCGUCAGGUGCUCCAGGACUGAUGAUGCAGCUGAGGACUGGGAAGCAGGAGACCAUCAAGGAAGAUGGCAGCCCAGCCCAUGGAGGCAAGCAAAAUGGAGUGGCUGAAGAGUUAGUGCUGGAGGAGGCACAGUCCCCUGGGAGUGGAGGGUCUUCCUGAGUGAGAGAGAAGGCAGGAGGAGAGCUCUUAGUAAGUAGAUGCUGAAUGAAUCCUGGUCCUGAGCUGAUGACACCUGAGGGCUGUUGAAGAGUGACAGGCCCCAGCCUUCCUACAUUGGGCCUGCAUGUCCAGUAAAAGGGGAGAGCCAGAGGAGGAAAGUCCAUCUUCUCACGGGAUAAGAAGGUCUGGAGACUUCCCAGGGGCUGUCUGACCUCUCCCGGAAGAGGAAGUGGGCUGGUGUGGACAGACCCUGAGGGGCAGAGCCCGCAGGGAGCCCUGCCCCUCUAUUCCACUGCAGAGGUCCCUGGAGGCGGGGCUGUGGUCCCCGCACUGCUCUUAGGCUGCCCAUGCAGAGGUGCGGGGUUGACUCAGAGAUGCUCAGAAAUGACCUGGAAAUGGAGGGUCUGAGGAGCUCCAGGCUGCCCCGUUCCUCCUUGCCACCCUCUCCCUGAUAGCAACAGGCAAGGCCAGGAGGCUUCUGGGAACCUGCUGCCUAAUUCC
rnacentral:lncRNA from 10 species